UCUUUAGAUAGUGCAUACAAUAUACUUCUUCAAGAUGAGAGGCAAAGACAGGUCACCCACUUCCCUUCUCAAUUCCAUACUGAUUCAAGUGCUUUUAGCACUCAAUUCAUGAAGAAACCCUAUGGCACAUACUCAAACCCAAAACAGUUCACUCAGAAAGUUAGGUUUGAUGGUAACAAAACAGACCUAGUGUGUAGAUAUUGCAAGAAGCCAGGCCAUUCAA
rnacentral:lncRNA from 1 species